UUUUUCUUGAACUAUUGUAUAUAAACCAACUUUGUUAACAAAAUUUAUCAAAAAAAUAUCAAAGAUGAUCAAAUAAUUGUUAAAAAAACAAAAUGUCAAAGUGGUUUGGCACUUAAAUGGCUUCAUGGUGCCAAGAAAUGUAUCUUUUGCCUGAUUAAAAUUAAAUAAAUCUUGAUUUUUCAAGUAUAAUGACACAUUUCCUAAACUUUAAUAUGAAUAUAUGUAUUAAAAAGUAAAUAUUUCAAAAUAUUUCUCUUAUAUAUUCAAACAAUUGUCACCAAAUUAUUUGUGACUUUU
rnacentral:lncRNA from 1 species